CGCGGGAGGCGGGGAGAGCGGCGGGCCCGCCUCGGGGCCGGGCUGAGCUCAGCGCCUCCUCCCGUCGGGCCGUUGGUGCCGGCCGGGGUGGGUUGUAUGCGCCUGCGCGUGAGGGGCUGGAAGGGAGGGGCGCGAAGUGGUGCCGUCCGUCCGGCUGCUCCGGUCUGGGGACGGACACCAGCGAAGAACGAGUGGAUUUUAUGCAGUUACUGUUUUUAGGAGACAGGAAUAGUUUGGGAAAAAGUGUGUAUAGAUCCUUGGGACGAAUUCCAAGUCUGAGCAGCGGGUAGGGCAUCUGGGUCCCUGUGCAACAGGAGGGCGGCAGGGCAGCAUCCCUACAUCCCUUUCCUGUUAGCCCCACUUCAAAGCACACUUGGUAACUCCCAGGGAAACCUAAGCAUGACGGAAUCGAGGCAUCAGGCUGAUGGGGACAGAUGUUGGCCAGACUCUGUGCACAGGUCCACCCUAUAGGAACCAAGGAGCCUGACAGGCACAAAAGACACCUUCAAACUCUGGUUGGCCGUCACCUUUCAAGGGGGAAACCCAGAGUCAUAAUGAGGGCAUGUGCUGGGCGGCAUCUUGUGCCCCCACUUCUGACUGAAACCUACAAAAGAAUGUGAAACAGGGAGGAAAAUCCACUUCUCCAGCUCUAAGGAAAGCCACCCAGGCAGAAAUCCCACCCAGGUUUCUCUGCAUGAGCCACCGGAGCAGGUAGCAACACCAUUUCUUGAAAGCUCCAGCCAGGCCCCACCUCAGGCAGGCCUGGGCAUAUUCACCCAGGAAGCCAAUUGCUCCUAAACACCAUCUGCAGCCAGAAGCCUGCAGGAGAGCACAGCAAUAGCUCCUGGGUGCUCCUUCCUCCCUGUAAAAGCCCAUUCCAGCACUCUCAUGGGUAGCUCCAUUCCACGUUCAAAAAAAAGCAAGGCUGCAAUUAGCCCCAGGCCGCCCCAGAGGCAGGACCCAAGCACUGGAACUGGGAAACAAAGCAAACAGCUAAGCUUCUCCUUGAGAUUUAGAUCACUUUUAUUUUGUUGUUUUGGCGAGGAUGUGUCGGUGCGGUGCGUGUACGUCUGGGCAUGCAUGUGUGUGUGCGCAGAGUCCUGCCCAGGUACGUAAAUGAUGUGAAUACCUGCAAUUACAGUUCAUUAACUGAGCCACGAAGCGCGUGGUGAGUGCUACACUGAGGCCUUGACUCUUCUUGUGCUUACUGCGGUGCAGCAUCUCCAUCUCCCCACGCUGCCCUUCCAAGGAUGGCAGCCCAAGAUCCCAACCAAAGAGCGGAGCUGAGCUCCAGCACCUGGCUCUGUAGGAGUGAGCUGGAGGGCUUCCACAUCGCUUAGCCAACUCCUAAAUAACAUCUGCGGUUCCCUUUAACAAAGCCACAUCUGCCUUUCACAGCAAGGGACCCCCGCUGCUCUGACAAACUUCAACCAGGUCAGAGGAACAAAGGAGAAAUGGGAACAGGACAGGGACCCCAUUUAAGCUCUAGUGCUACGGCACAGCCGAGCACACCUGAGGAUGCUGCAAGGGAGAGAACGUGUACUUCCACAGCCCCCAGUCUCUUCCCUUUGAUUUCAGAGGCCACAAGGCAGGAUAACCCCCAGUCUGAUGUCUUUUUCCGUUCUGCUUUACAGUUGAAUCCUCCAAACUCAGAGUGGAGACAGAAUGCAGAAAGGGGACUAGUCAAAUCCAUCUUGGCAGUGUAGCAGGCUGAACCCAUCUUAUUUCUAUGACUUUUUUGCCUUCAGCAGAGUUAAAACAGAGUGACCCCACCACCUAGGAUCCUCUGCAGUUGUCAACUCCGGCAAGCCCUAAGAUGAGCUAGAUAGACAACAUCACCCUUUGGGCUCUACCUCAACAUAUUUGGAUGCUGUUUUGGGACAUGCAGUUUCUUCAGUGUUACACAGACUCAGCAGAAGGCAGAGUUGCUAUUGUGAGAGUUUCAUUUGGACGGAUGCAUGUUUGAAUCUCAUGUUUUGCUUCCACGUGUAACACAAGAUACUCCAGUAUGAGCUCCAGGUGCUGAAAGCCUUACAGCUCUGCUUCCAAGUCCACGUGCACCAGUUUCAUCAUUAAAUUAACUGGUUAGGCAAGCAAGAGGUCUGCAAACCAAUGAGCAAAACCAGUGCACGGCCCUCUUGAGUGAAGUGAGGAUCAAGUAUCAGGAGAUUCGUCUCCUCUUCCAAAGGUGUUACAGUCACCAUCAGUUCCACAGGGAGACAACUGACGCCCCAGUCCUAUCUGCCCUCUUUCUUCAUUGGACGCUUGCUGUAAAGUCUGUAGGGCGCUCUGCAGAGGCCUUGGCCAUUUUCUAGCAGUUCAGUAACUCUCAGAGCAAGGACAAGAGCAGAGUAGGAAUGCAUGCUCUGAACUGGAUACCUCUGUUCUUAGAGCAACGUCUUCAAGCCCUCUUUCCUUAAGGCUUGACUCAAGAAAAAUGAAAGUUCCCUCAAACAUACAGGGCACUCAUCCCUGGGGCUCAGUGAUGUUGCAUGGAGUCUAAGAGACAGGAGCUCAGCAAAGGGAUGCUGUGUGCAGAGGAUUCCAGGACACAUCCUUAAAAGAGAGAAGCAGCAAAACCAAAAGGGCUAGCAGCCACUUGGCACGGUUUUCCUGCACAGAUCUCUCACUUGGCAGUUGCAAAGGGGAGACAUUUCUGAGCUGCAUAGAAAAUUAAAUGGCUUUAGCAUAUAAAAAAAAAAAUACAGAUGAAAACAGUUACACCAGUUACUAAACAGUGGGCGGAUGAGUGAUCCCAAUUUCAUUUUAAAUAACUCGACUGAUCUCCACACUGCCAUACUCCCAGCGUUAUGGCUUCAGUACAUGGAACGGGCUGGGUGCCUGCUGCCUGCAGAGGGCAGCUAACGCUGAGCUCCUGAUGAGGUGGCAGCAGGGCUGCAGUCCCACGGAGCAGGCUGUAAGGUGUCUGCUCUGUCCUCUUGCUCCUUUAGCACUCCUGAAUCCCACACCAGCUGGGCGCACCGGGAAGCUGAUCUCCUGUCUGGAGAAGGAUUCCAGUGGGUGAUAUCUUUGCAACGUGGAUUUCACGCAACAGCUCAGCAAUAAAUCACUAUUUUCUUCCUACAGAGGAUGGAAAGAGAGGCAGCAAAACUUUGGACGUGGAAGUUUUCUAGAACUAUUCUGAGCACCAUUUGGAGAGAUCUCACCUCCCUCCUACCACCACAGGCAAUUCCUGGUGAGUUUAUAGAAGCAAGGUGUAUAGAAGUACAAUCAUUAAUGCUUCUCACUGGUACGAGAAAUGUUUAAAAGCCCAUUACCGGAGGUGGCAGGUCGACACAUGAAGGCUGAGCCUAGGCUCCCUCCUGGCUGGAAUGAUACUCCAAAAAGAUAGCAAGUUGACUGAGCUGCAAGCUUUUAUUUGGCUGCUUUCCAUGCUGAAGUUAGGAACAACGGCUUUCUUCUUUAUACCUGGGCCCCACGAUUUCCCACUAGAACGGAUUCUGCUCUGCAUUUCCCAACAUGAAAGCUCCUGACAAAGGGGCUAUUUACAGCCAGGCUGAUAUUUUAAGGACCAGAAUUUAGGAGAAUGUCACAGCAGGUCCCCACUUGCCUGCUCCUCCAACACACCCUUACCACUACGUAGCAGAGCAUACACGACUGCAUAAGGAAGGAAAUAUUUCCUAGGAUGCUUCUCCCCCUGCACUGCAGGCCAUGACCUGAGCCCGCUGUGUGGGACACAGUCCAGUGUUUUUGCACUGAAACAACUUUAAAGGCUUCACAGAACCAACCCCCCUUUCCCACAAAGCCUUGGCCAAUUGCCACAAAACUCACUUGUCCAGGAACAAAUCCAGGGAAUUCUGCUACAGCUCACUUCAAGAGAUUUUCCUCCAAGCAGGUCUGAAUUAAAUGGAACCAAGAACAAUUUUACAUUCAUCAUGAGAUCCCAAUGAGUUUCAAUACGCAAUCAGUGGGUCCACAGAAUCCUAUCCCCAGUGCUUUUCUUCUGGCUGGCAGCCCUGCCAUCUGCAGCAAUUGCUUUGCUUCAUGUCUCGUUGUCAUAUCCAGCUUGCAGGUGACCGUGUCCACUCCAGCCAUGAAGCCUGCACCUGCGAACUGCCCUGCCCUGUGGCAUCUCAGAGUCCCAAAUUACCACCGAUCCCUGUCAGCAUGCAACUCCACAACUGGACAUGGGAGCACUGUA